rnacentral:rRNA from 1 species
UGGGGAAUAUUGCGCAAUGGGGGCAACCCUGACGCAGCCAUGCCGCGUGAAUGAAGAAGGCCUUCGGGUUGUAAAGUUCUUUCGGUAGCGAGGAAGGCAUUUAGUUUAAUAGACUAGGUGAUUGACGUUAACUACAGAAGAAGCACCGGCUAACUCCGUGCCAGCAGCCGCGGUAAUACGGAGGGUGCGAGCGUUAAUCGGAAUAACUGGGCGUAAAGGGCACGCAGGCGGUGACUUAAGUGAGGUGUGAAAGCCCCGGGCUUAACCUGGGAAUUGCAUUUCAUACUGGGUCGCUAGAGUACUUUAGGGAGGGGUAGAAUUCCACGUGUAGCGGUGAAAUGCGUAGAGAUGUGGAGGAAUACCGAAGGCGAAGGCAGCCCCUUGGGAAUGUACUGACGCUCAUGUGCGAAAGCGUGGGGAGCAAACAGGAUUAGAUACCCCCGUAGUCCCUGAGCGGGCUGGCAAGGCGCAU